rnacentral:rRNA from 1 species
UACGUAGGGGGCAAGCGUUGUCCGGAUUCAUUGGGCGUAAAGAGCGUGUAGGCGGCCAGGUAGGUCGGUUGUGAAAACUGGAGGCUCAACCUUCAGAGGUCGACCGAAACCAUCUGGCUAGAGUCCGGGAGAGGAGAGUGGAAUUCCUGGUGUAGCGGUGAAAUGCGCAGAUAUCAGGAAGAACACCCGUGGCGAAGGCGGUUCUCUGGGCAUGUCCUGACGCUGAGGAGCGAAAGUGUGGGGAGCGAACAGG